rnacentral:lncRNA from 1 species
GUAGGACCAUGUUGUAAUUUGUGAAUAUUUAUAAUUCUACUUCGAUAACUUGUUAAAUAUGUAUUUCUAUUUCGUAAAACUACAGUAGAGAGUUCAAGUUCGAUUCAUUUCGAGUUCAAAGAAAUUCAACAAUUCGUGGGAGGUCAAAACCAGCGUGGUUGAUCACGCCACUAACUACGUCACUUCCGUUCGUUUGCAGCCUCGUACCCAGGCGCAAAUAACGAACUAAAAAUAGCAACACUACAGUGUUUUUAUAUAGAUCAGUGGCUAAGAUGAGCGAGCGCGCAGGGGUGCUUGGGAAUACUAUAUUAAAACAGCUGGUUACCACCUGGCUACCGAAAAACAAGUAGCCAGCUACCAACUGGCUACUUGUUUUUUGGUAGCCAGCUGUUUUAAUUUCAACAUUCCAUAUAAAUUCAAUGUAUUUUUAAAAUAUUAAUCAAGAAUAACUUGGCCAGUUUCUUUGACUUUCCUUGAAUACUUUUCUUUCAAACUGCAAAAAGGCAGUAUAUUUCAUGAUGUGCAUCCAACACCAGACAUAAAUUUUCAACCAUUUGAA